UGUUGCAUUUCCUUCAAGUAGCUCAAUUACACGGUUCUCUUCUUUUCCAUUUUAAUCUUCACAACAAUCCUGUGAGGUACAUUCUUCUGAGAGAUCAUGCCUGGCCCUAAUUGAACUGACUUCCCAGCUGUUCAGCUUGAUACCUAAUGCACUGAGCUAUCCAGCCAGCUGAGGACAGCUUAAUUCUGUGUAAAUAUACAUAUGAAUUCACUGCAAUAUUGUUUCUGCACACAGAUUGCAGUUCACAGAUACGAUUGUGUAUGUGUCUGGGGUGUGUGUGCAGUUGUUCCGAGAGAGUCAAACUGUGACUAUAUUGCAGAAACAGCUGUCACAGGAACGGGGUGAAAAACUCCUUGUUGCCGCAGGAAGUCUAAACUACGUUGCUGGCCUUUCUGCAAUGCAGUCCUACGGCCUUGCAGCAGUACUAAUCGCUGCAGAGAAGGAUGAAUUCUGCUUUUUACUGAAUGUACAGGAAAGGUUGAGGAGAGGGACACCUACGGCUUGCAUGGACUGGCCAAGAUAAUUUUGUGUGUGUGUCCCCUGUGCUCCCCAUGCUUUCAGAAAAAUUGCCACCAAAAUGCCAUGGUAAGCCACUACAUACUUUUCGCAAAAACCCCACCUUUGUAUUUAUUGCUAGAAGAAAGCUUUGUUGAUAUCCUAAUUGCAACAAUUGCUGAUCAUUGCUGUUGAUCCUGAAAUACCAAGACUUUUUUUUAUUAUACAUUAUUACCAAGCUUUGUUAUUUAAGUGGGAAAUCAGUCCACCCAAGCAGGACUUUGAAGUCUCCUGUCGUCA
rnacentral:lncRNA from 1 species